rnacentral:rRNA from 1 species
AGAAACGCUGGCGGCGUGCUUAACACAUGCAAGUCGAACGCGGGAAGAACCUGGCUUUUGUUGGGUUGGAUGAGUGGCGAACGGGUGAGUAACACGUGAGUAACCUGCCCUCUUCUUUGGGAUAACGCCCGGAAACGGGUGCUAAUACUGGAUAUUCACUGGCCUUCGCAUGGGGGUUGGUGGAAAGGUUUGUUCUGGUGGGGGAUGGGCUCGCGGCCUAUCAGCUUGUUGGUGGGGUGAUGGCCUACCAAGGCUUUGACGGGUAGCCGGCCUGAGAGGGUGACCGGUCACAUUGGGACUGAGAUACGGCCCAGACUCCUACGGGAGGCAGCAGUGGGGAAUAUUGCACAAUGGGCGGAAGCCUGAUGCAGCGACGCCGCGUGAGGGAUGGAGGCCUUCGGGUUGUAAACCUCUUUCGCUCAUGGUCAAGCCGCAACUGUGGGUUGUGGUGAGGGUAGUGGGUAAAGAAGCGCCGGCUAACUACGUGCCAGCAGCCGCG